rnacentral:rRNA from 1 species
GAUGAACGCUGGCGGCGUGCUUAACACAUGCAAGUCGAGCGAGUCAGGUUUUCAACACUGAGUAUUCGGUAAUUAUAAAUGUAAGUAAAGCCAGCGUCAAGCACAUGCUUCAAGUGCUUCACGCGUUAUAAAAGCUUGCUAACACAUAAGACUGAGUAUUGAGUGUUGGAAACUUGACUAGCGGCGGACGGGUGAGUAACGCGUGGGCAACCUGCCCUGUACAGAGGGAUAACAACGGGAAACCGUUGCUAAUACCUCAUAAUACCUUUCGGGGGCAUCCCCUUUAGGUCAAAGAAUUUCGGUACAGGAUGGGCCCGCGUCUGAUUAGCUAGUUGGUGAGGUAAUGGCUCACCAAGGCGACGAUCAGUAGCCGACCUGAGAGGGUGAUCGGCCACAUUGGAACUGAGACACGGUCCAAACUCCUACGGGAGGCAGCAGUGGGGAAUAUUGCACAAUGGGCGAAAGCCUGAUGCAGCAACGCCG